rnacentral:rRNA from 1 species
GUGGGGAAUAUUGGACAAUGGGCGAAAGCCUGAUCCAGCCAUGCCGCGUGUGUGAAGAAGGUCUUCGGAUUGUAAAGCACUUUAAGUUGGGAGGAAGGGCAGUAAGUUAAUACCUUGCUGUUUUGACGUUACCGACAGAAUAAGCACCGGCUAACUUCGUGCCAGCAGCCGCGGUAAUACGAAGGGUGCAAGCGUUAAUCGGAAUUACUGGGCGUAAAGCGCGCGUAGGUGGUUUUGUAAGUUGGAGGUGAAAUCCCCGGGCUCAACCUGGGAACUGCCUCCAAAACUGCAUGACUAGAGUACGGUAGAGUGUAGUGGAAUUUCCUGUGUAGCGGUGAAAUGCGUAGAUAUAGGAAGGAACACCAGUGGCGAAGGCGACUACCUGGACUGAUACUGACACUGAGGUGCGAAAGCGUGGGGAGCAAACAGGAUUAGAUACCCCUGUAGUCC